rnacentral:rRNA from 1 species
UACGUAGGGUCCGAGCGUUGUCCGGAGUUACUGGGCGUAAAGGGCGCGCAGGCGCGGUGCUGGCCCGGCGUGAAAGCCCCCGGCUCAACCGGGGAGGGUCGUCGGGGACCGCACCGCUUGAGGGCGGUAGGGGCCGGUGGAAUGCCUGGUGUAGUGGUGAAAUGCGUAGAGAUCAGGCAGAACACCUGGGCGAAGGCGGCGGCUGGGCCGACCCUGACGCUGAGGCGCGAAGCGUGGGGAGCGAACGGGAU